CCUACGGGAGGCUGCAGUGAGGAAUAUUGGUCAAUGGACGAGAGUCUGAACCAGCCAAGUAGCGUGAAGGAUGAAUGUCCUAUGGGUUGUAAACUUCUUUUAUCAAGGAAUAAAACGAGGCACGUGUGCCUUUUUGCAUGUACUUUAUGAAUAAGGAUCGGCUAACUCCGUGCCAGCAGCCGCGGUAAUACGGAGGAUCCGAGCGUUAUCCGGAUUUAUUGGGUUUAAAGGGAGCGUAGAUGGGUUGUUAAGUCAGUUGUGAAAGUUUGCGGCUCAACCGUAAAAUUGCAAUUGAUACUGGCAGUCGUGAGUACAGUUGAGGUAGGCGGAAUGCGUGGUGUAGCGGUGAAAUGCUUAGAUAUCACGAAGAACCCCGAUUGCGAAGGCAGCUUACUAAACUGUGACUGACAUUGAGGCUCGAAAGUGUGGGUAUCAAACAGGAUUAGAUACCCGAGUAGUC
rnacentral:rRNA from 1 species